UACGAAGGGGGCUAGCGUUGUUCGGAAUCACUGGGCGUAAAGCGCACGCAGGCGGAUUGAUAAGUCAGGGGUGAAAUCCCGGAGCUCAACUUCGGAAUUGCCCUUGAUACUGUCAAUCUCGAGUCCGGGAGAGGUGAGUGGAAUUCCUAGUGUAGAGGUGAAAUUCGUAGAUAUUAGGAAGAACACCAGUGGCGAAGGCGGCUCACUGGCCCGGUACUGACGCUCAUGUGCGAAAGCGUGGGGAGCAAACGGG
rnacentral:rRNA from 1 species